CAUUUUUCUCCAUCACAAACAGUUGCUGAUUCUUAAUUGCGGCGAGGUUACCAGUUCAGGUCCCGUUUCCGGCAACUUUUCCGGUUAUUAAGCUGUUCCGCCGCUGAGCACACUGAUUUAACUUCAGAUUUACCCAAUACAGAGGUGAUUGAAAGCUAUGGCUUCCAAGGUAUCCAUCAUUUCAAAAUGGACGGUUAAAGCUGAGGGAAAAAGUCAGCACCAUACAGAUAAUUGUAAGAUUAUUGAGUUGACACCAUGGGACAUUCUUGAGCUUCAAAUUGACUACUUUCAAACUGGA